AACAGACUCGCGAGGAAACUUACCUCCGCGAUUCCCAAAACCCCCCUUUUCCGAUUCCUUGCUGUCCACUCACGUCUCCGGUGAUCACCGGCGGCCAUGGGCCACGACACGCCAUGGCCACCGCGCGCCUCAGCUUCUCCCGCCCCUCUUUCUCCCGCGCAAGCCAAAAGACCGCAAAAGUUUAGCGCGCUCCGAUUCCUCUCGGCGGCAAACUCCCGCCCUCUUCCGCCUCCCUCCAUUAAGCUCGCCGUAGGGUUAGGGUUGGCCAAACCAGAUAAAUCCAUCCCAAAUUGAAGCCCAAUCUCCCGUCCCUGAGGAAGAAAUCGCCCCCAAUCCGUGCAACAAUGAGUAGGCCAGACACAAAGAAGAAUCAGUUGAGCUUGAAUCGGGCCGCCGGUGAAUCGGCCGCCACUGCUCCAGCCGCCCGUGGUGCUCGAGAUGCAGAUGCAACCGAUGGUGCUCCAGGCCCCCAAGCUCCAUCAUUUGGUCCAGUCGUUGGUGCUGUUCGAGGAGUUGGUGGUGCCCCAGAAGCCGGUGGUUCUCCAGGAGCUGGUGGUUUUCAUGCCUGUUGUUGGUGGUCAUGCUCCAGCCGCUGGUGGUGUUAUGGCGUUGGUGCUCAAGCCACUGCUCCUUGCUGGCCAGCGGCAGCUCUUGGCGCAUCCUUCGCGGUUCAACCAUCUCCUGGCAGCUCUGAAUGAGUGAAUGGAUAUAUCCACAGGGCAGUUUCAUGAAUAUGCUACAGAAUCCAUUUGUGAACUAUGCCAAAGGAAGUCAGCUACCAGAGAAGUUCCAUUUUGUUGGUGGACCAAUGAGCCAUUCUAGAGUCUCACCUAAAGCAGCAAGUUCUAAAGGGACCCCAUCACCAACUGGGAGCUUUGCUGAUGGUGGUUCUGAUGGUGCUGCACAAAUUGGAUCACAAGAUAAAGAAGUAAUUGAAGUUGAGGACAAUGUCACCAUUCAGACAGGAAGAUCCAAUGCUAGAUCCAUUGCUAGAUCCCUUGCUUCAUCAGAUGCUAGAUCAGAUAGGAGAUUGAAUUGGUCAAUUGAAGAAGAUAUCAGAUUGGUUCGUGCGUGGCUGCUCAAUUCAAUUGAUCCGGUUGAUGGAAAUGAUAAGAAGUCUGAUCAGUAUUGGUCUGAUGGUACUUCUACAUACAACAGCACCACGAAGUGUGAUCGUAUGAGAAACUGCAACCAGCUAAAGCUACGUUGGGAGCACAUUGAGAGGCUUGUCACUGAAUUCAAUGGUUGCUAUACAAGAAUAACUAAAGUGCAUCGGAGUGGUAUGAGUGAUGACCAAAAGAUGGAUCAAGCAUUGCAGCUGUAUGCCUCUGAACACAGUGACAAGCCUUUCACAAUGAUCCAUGUAUGGAGGAUAUUACGUCAUGAGAAGAAGUGGUCUGCAUAUGUCAAGAAACUUAACAAUGAGAAGGACAAGAGUGCAUCACCUAACCCAGGUCCUGUGGUGGAUUCGAAGAUGUUCCAAAACAAACCAAUCUGAUUUGUCUCCUCUCUCUUCCCUAAUCUGUUCCACCAUGCCAAACCAAUCUGAUCAAUUGCCAAACGAUUCCCCUGGGUCCUUGCAGAAUCUGAACAAGGGCUCAUGAAUGAUUACUUUGUGGAUGAUCCAGUCUAUAAUGAAACAAUGUUCCGUAGAAGAUUCAGGAUGAGAAGGCCUUUGUUCUUACGCAUUGUUCAAGCCCUGGGUGAGUGGAAUAAAUAUUUCACUUUGAAGAUGGAUGCUCUUAACCGACCAGGCUUAUCUCCAAUCAAAAAAUGCACAGCGGCUAUUCGCCAAUUGGGGAAUGGCAGCCCUGCAGACCAACUUGAUGAGUACCUAAAGAUUGGAGAAAGUACUGGAGUGGAGUGCUUGAAGAAGUUUGUGAAGGGUGUGAUUGAGGUGUUUGGUAAAGAGUAUUUGCGACGCCCCACAGCACAAGAUAUUGAACGCUUAGUGCAUAUUGGUGAGUGGCAUGGGUUCCCUGGUAUGUUAUGGAGCAUUGACUGCAUGCAUUAGCAUUGGGAAAAAUGUCCUUAUGAAUGGAAGGGAAUGUAUACCUGUGGUGAUCAAGGUGUUCCUACGGUCAUUUUAGAAGCAGUAGCUUCGCAUGAUCGUUGGAUAUGGCAUGCCUUCUUUGGGGUUGCUGGGUCCAACAAUGACAUCAACGUGCUUAAUCAGUCACCUCUGUUUGUCCAGCAGCUGAGAGGUGAAGGACCUCAGGUGCAGUUCUAUGUCAAUGGAAGGGAAUACAACACUGGUUACUACCUUGCAGAUGGUAUAUACCCAGAAUGGGCAACUUUUGUUAAGUCAAUACGUCAACCACAAUCAGAAAAGCAUAAACUAUUUGCUGAACAUCAAGAAGGGGCAAGGAAGGAUGUUGAGUGUGCUUUUGGUCUUCUGCAAUCUCUCUUUAGUAUUUUGAAACGACCUGCACGUCUAUAUGAUCAGGGGGACCUGGAGAAUAUCAUGCUAGUUUGCAUUAUCCUUCACAACAUGGUAAUUAAAGAAGAGAAAGAUAUUGAACAGGAUGCUCUUGAUUUGAAUGAGGCACCAAGCACAUCAACUGUACAAGAAGCUACAAUCUCUCAAGGACCUAAUCCAGAGAUGGAAGAAGUGAUAGAAAGAAAUACUAUUUAUUCGUGAUCGAACUACUCGUAGACAACUUCAAUCUGAUUUAGUUGAGCAUAUAUGGCAGAAGUUUGGUGCUUCUAAGUAAUUAGCUACUUCCUGGGACAUGUCUAAGAAUUAUGCAUUUUCAAGCAAGUUACCUUUGCAGAUGAUUAGGUUGGCAGUCAAGCUAUUUUGUUGUUGUUGUGCUCUGGAUGAACUGAUUGCACAUUGCUGAUUGCUGGAUCAACUGCAUGCUACCAAAAUUAGUAUCUAUAGUUUUAUUAUGUUUUGUCGUGAGAGGCUACCUAAAUUACUAUGUAUCCGCAUGGCAAUGCUAUCUAUUACCUGCUGUAAUGCAUCUGAACCUAUUUUCCUGUGCUUGUUCCCAAUGGAUGGCCUAUGCACAUUGCAAUUCGAUGCUCAUUUUCUUGUGCUUUAGCUGCCGUUGUAUAUGAACCUAUUUUCCUGCUCUAGCUGAUGGUGCUCCUGCUUCCAGGAUGCUCCAGCCGGUGGUAUUCUCUUGUUCAGUAUUUCAGUGAAAGUUAUCUAUUGUUUAUUUU